AAUCAUAAGAGCAGCACCCACCUGCACCCUGGAUCUGGCCCAAAGCCUCACCAGCCAAGUCCCUGCCGCAGGUGCACUCCUGAGCACCUACUGGUUGGCAGCUGCAACGGGCACAGAGGAGGACAAGUGGGCAGCACUGGGGGAUGACGUGGUCAGCCAGAGACCUGUGGGCAUUCUCGGCUAGGUUCCCUCAGCCAGAGCAUCCUCCACAGCAGCCACCUGUGGAAAGCCUGCAAGACGUCGUAAGCAGGACUUUGGGGAGAAAGACUUAGUCAUCGAGACUGCCUUCGAGGUUUCCACCGCCUGUGGUGCAGCAACCUACCAUGGUGCAGGCCUCCAUCUCAGGCCUGCCCAACUCUGGAAGGAUUUCUAGUAGGAUUUAUGUCCCUUCACUCAUUUCCUCCUCCAUUGGUGUGUUGUCCACUGUGUGCGGAGACGGUACUGGGUGCCUGGGCCGAGGAGACCAAGCCUCUCAGUCUCUUCAAGUGGAUCCAAGGACCAACCAGGCGGGCAGGACCAGCCGGCUAGGAGCAGCCGACUGCCGCGGAGCUGGGACAAGCCAAGCACCAGGACCUCAGGAAGCGUCUCUCUCCUGCGCCGCCUGAGAGGGCACUGCGCUCAGGGCAGGUCGCAGCGGCAGAGCAGGACGCACUCUCCGUUCUUUAACGAGGUCCUGGGUCACCCCGGCGUUCCUGGCUGCGGUUUCCCGGUGGACUUGGUUCCCCGCAGCUCGCUCUCCAGGGGGCGUCCUGUUUCAUCACACUGUGAGGUGUUUGGGCACCGCGGGGUCCCCUUCUACCCCUCCCGCGAUCCGCCGCCCGCCUGUUCCCGGCAUCAGCAGCAUCACAGAACCAGCCCGGACCCCUAAGCAGACCCGCGCUCCGGGCAGCCUCCCUGCGCUCCUGCUUUGCGCUUGGCUCAGACCUGGGAGCCGGCCCUGGCUGGUCGCCGGGCGCGGGCGCCUGUCCCACCAGCAGAGGGAGCGCGCCGCGGCUUGGCUGCGGGCCUGGCCCUGAGCGCCCAGCACCUGGUGGAGGCAUCUGCCAGCCGUUUACCAUCAGAACUGGCUUCUGCUCGUGCCAAUCAGCGCCGUGCCGUGGGCACGCUCCAUGGAGCCCAGUCGGCCGCGGACCGUUCCUAAUGAGAACCACUAAUUAGCUAGCUGAGCGCGGGACCGCAGUCCUACCCACUCCCACUUUGCAGGGGUGCCGGGCCGCCCACAGCUGCAGCUGCUGUCCCCAGCCGCCCACCGCCCAAGGCCCGGUCCUGCAGGCGCUCCGGUUCGUGCCCAAAGCAGCACGCUACUUUAAAGCGCGAAGCCUUCUGCUCCCGGCUUCUUCAUGCGGGGCAUUGCAAACUCUUGAGAACUGAGACUGAGGGUCCAGAUGCAGCGUCGGUGGGCGGCCCAGUGCGGACAGUCACCCAGCCCCCAGCCCCUGGAGGGCCUGCUGCCCC